UCGUGCAUUCCCAGCCUCGCCUCGGGUGUAGGGAUUGCAUAGAAAAGCAAAACUACACAGUCUCGGACUGUGUAGUUUUGUUUUUAAGUUUAGAGGCUCACCGAUUCAUGUCGGAGAUGGUCGAAAAAACCAGCUCCAGAUAGGACGUCGUUUCGGAAGCAACCUGGGGCUUCGUCCCACCCUUUUUGGGCACUCUUGAGAAAUCAGAGUGCCUGAAAAGAUGACAACUCAAGCACCGACGUUUACGCAGCCGUUACAAAGUGUUGUGGUACUGGAGGGUAGUACCGCAACCUUUGAGGCUCACAUUAGUGGUUUCCCAGUUCCUGAGGUGAGCUGGUUUAGGGAUGGCCAGGCAAUUUCCACUUCCACUCUACCCGGCGUGCAGAUCUCCUUUAGCGAUGGCCGCGCUAGACUGACGAUCCCCGCCGUGACUAAAGCCAACAGUGGACGAUACUCCCUGAGAGCCACCAAUGGAUCUGGACAAGCGACUAGUACUGCUGAGCUUCUUGUGACAG